rnacentral:rRNA from 1 species
UUGACGGGGGCCCGCACAAGCGGUGGAGCAUGUGGUUUAAUUCGAUGAUACGCGAGGAACCUUACCUGGGCUCAAAUGUAUGUUGACGUAUUCUGAAAGGGAUACUUCUUCGGACAAUAUACAAGGUGCUGCAUGGUUGUCGUCAGCUCGUGCCGUGAGGUGUCGGGUUAAGUCCCAUAACGAGCGCAACCCUCAUCAUUAGUUACCAUCAGGUAAGGCUGGGGACUCUAAUGAGACUGCCAUCGUAAGAUGUGAGGAAGGUGGGGAUGACGUCAAAUCAGCACGGCCCUUACGUCCGGGGCGACACACGUGUUACAAUGGGUGGUACAAAGGGCAGCUACCUGGCGACAGGAUGCUAAUCUCGAAAACCGCUCUCAGUUCGGAUCGGAGUCUGCAACUCGACUCCGUGAAGCUGGAUUCGCUAGUAAUCGCGCAUCAGCCACGGCGCGGUGAAUACGUUCCCGGGCCUU